UUCGCAAUGCCCGAAAGGGUGACGAAGCGACGCCGCGUGGGUGAAGAAGGCCUUCGGGUUGUAAAGCCCUGUCAGGAGUUAUGAAAUAUAAGUGCGCUAAUAUCGUGCUUAUUUGACAAAGGCUCCAAAGGAAGCCACGGCUAACUCUGUGCCAGCAGCCGCGGUAAUACAGAGGUGGCGAGCGUUGUUCGGAAUUAUUGGGCGUAAAGAGCACGUAGGUGGGUUUGCAAGUCAGAUGUGAAAGCCUUCUGUUCAACGGAAGAAUUGCAUCUGAAACUGCUGAUCUUGAGUAUAGGAGGGGAGAAUGGAACUUCUGGUGGAGCGGUGAAAUGCGUAGAUAUCAGAAGGAACGCCGGCGGCGAAAGCGAUUCUCUGGCCUAUUACUGACACUCAGUGUGCGAAAGCUAGGGGAGCAAACGGGAUUAGAUACCCCGGUAGUCCUAGCUGUAAACGAUGGGCACUAAGUAGAGGGGUUUU
rnacentral:rRNA from 1 species